rnacentral:rRNA from 1 species
GGUGGCGAGUGGCGGACGGGUGAGUAAUGCAUCGGGACCUACCCAGACGUGGGGGAUAACGUAGGGAAACUUACGCUAAUACCGCAUACGUCCUACGGGAGAAAGCGGGGGAUCGAAAGACCUCGCGCGGUUGGAUGGACCGAUGUGCGAUUAGCUUGUUGGUGAGGUAACGGCUCACCAAGGCGACGAUCGCUAGCUGGUCUGAGAGGAUGAUCAGCCACACUGGGACUGAGACACGGCCCAGACUCCUACGGGAGGCAGCAGUGGGGAAUAUUGGACAAUGGGCGCAAGCCUGAUCCAGCAAUGCCGCGUGUGUGAAGAAGGCCCUCGGGUUGUAAAGCACUUUUAUCAGGAGCGAAA